rnacentral:rRNA from 1 species
AGCGGCAGGCUUAAUACAUGCAAGUCGUGGGGCAGCAUGAGUAGCAAUACUUGAUGGCGACCGGCAAACGAGUGAGGAACACGUACACAACCUUCCUUCAAGCGGGGAAUAGCCCAGAGAAAUUUGGAUUAAUACCCCAUAAUAUAUUUGAUAAGGCAUCUUAUUAAUAUUAAAAGCUUCGGCACUUGAUGAUGGGUGUGCGGCUGAUUAGAUAGUUGGCGGGGUAACGGCCCACCAAGUCUACGAUCAGUAGCUGAUGUGAGAGCAUGAUCAGCCACACGGGCACUGAGACACGGGCCCGACUCCUACGGGAGGCAGCAGUAAGGAAUAUUGGACAAUGGACGAAAGUCUGAUCCAGCCAUGCCGCGUGAAGGAUUAAGGUCCUCUGGAUUGUAAACUUCUUUUAUAUGGGACGAAAAAAGGGCAUUCUUGUUCACUUGACGGUACCAUAUGAAUAAGCACCGGCUAACUCCGUG